UCCAGUUGAUGAUCAUCAUCUUGUAUCGAUCUGCAGUCUGUGUUUUGGUGCUGACACCUGGGAGACGCUGACGGAAUAACUUUUACUGCAAUAUGAAGCAACUUAGAAUCUGGUUUGCGUGAAGUUGUAACUCUAAUGUUUCUCUCUUCUACAUAGCAGGGAAGGAAAUAACAACACAACAACAGAUGAAAGUAGAGCUGACCUGAGUUUUCUUGAGAAUGCAUAAUAGGAGCUUCGCAUAAAAGUUCCUCCAUUUUGUCAACUGAGUCAUUGUGCCUAGUUAGCCAAUCAAAGAGGGAUAAGCAUUGAUUUGGACUAUUCAAAAAAUAGAGACAGAAAAGCUGCCGAGUUCAUCCCAAAGGAGACCCUUAAUGGUAAUUAUUGUAACAUAUCAUGUUAAUUAAGUCAAUUCGUAUGAAAUCUAAACCCUUGGACCAGUAGGGAAACAAAAAAUGGUUAAAGUGAUUUUACAGACCUG